GGGCUUACACUAUAAAGGCCUGAUCCUACAAAUGCUACUGAGCAUAGCGAUCAUACCGGGGUCUGCUUUGACAAAAUCCAGUGCAGGCGCUAGACCUGAAAAUCUAAACUGACAACGAAAUAUGUUUGUACAGAUUACUGCCAGGGAUAGUUCCACUGAAGUCAGUGAAAUUUUCUAACUGAAGACUGCCAUGUGAAAACAACUAAUUUAUGAGUAAUCCCACUAGAAGAAAUAAAAGUCUGUAUUGUGAAGAGCUCAAAUCAAUGUAAUUCCAUGGAGUGCAGAUGUAAAUGCAAGUAGGAUCUGGGCCUUAGGCCUCAAUCCUUCAAACAUUUAUCCAUAAAACUGAACACCCACUACAGGCUGCUCCAACAACUGGAAAUAGCCUUGGCAUAGGAAUGCCACACCAAGUCUCCCUUUGUCUCCUGAAUGGAAAGCUUCUGUGCAGAGAGUGGCCAGCUAUGGUGACUCUGUGCCUACACGAGGACACCCCUGAUGCCAGGACAAUUCUGUGGAGAGAAAGAGAGAUGGAUAGUAGCAGCAGUGAUCCUAGCAGACGUAGAGUGUAUAUCCGGAAUAACUCUGUCAGCGUCAGUGGAAUUAUAGUGGUGUUGACCUGGUGUAAGUGAGAUCAGAAGCCAACUCUGAAACUAAAGAUUUACAUUGCAGAAGAAGAUGGGGAAGAAGACUUGGUAACUGCUUUACUUGUAUCCUCCUUGUCAACCAGCCUUAGGCAUUCUGUUUGAGUUGUCAUCAUUCCUUGAAAGUCAGGAGUGUUAAGAAAUGGGGAAUAUUAGAUUGCCUUGUCAUCCCUGGAAGAGCUGUAGUUUUGGGAAUUACAUCAAACCACCUUGUUUGAAGUACUGAGAGGAUGGGGUGGGUGAUUUGAGAGGUGCCCACAGGUAUUUUCUGUUGGCAGGCUUGCUGAUCUUUAUUAUAUAUAACCUCUUGGUCUGAAUUGCUGCUGCUUCUUCUUGUUUUCUUUAAUCUAUGAUUUUAUUAUCAUUAUACACUGAAAAGUUUUAUAAACUACUCACGGCAUUGUUGCUGCUGUUGCUAAUAUUCCUUCCAAAGCCCCCACUGAAGAUGGUUUAUUACCAGCAAAUAGACUUCUUAGUUGCUAUCAAGAGGCCUUAUUGAUACUUGACAGAAUGAAUACCACUCUAUUGAAAUAAUUACUACAGAGUUAAGAUUAGGUAAUAUUGAUUGUGUGUAUUUAUUCCUUUGAUAUGGGCAACAAUAUUAAAAGCCAUCAAACACUAGCUUCACUAUUUGACAGCAUCAUUUAAUUCUAGCCAUGUGUUGCCAUAAGAAGAAUUAAGAUAUAAAUAAAGAAAGCAUGACUUCCGAGCUUUAAUUAGGAUUCAUGUUGCCGUGAUAUUCUGCCUCAGAAUACCAUGGAUCAGAAUGGAGAAACUAGCUUUAAAGCAGAAAAUGCUGUGGUGGCAAAGGGGAAGAGGAAACAGUUCAUUAAAUAUCAACAGCCAGAUGUGGGGUAGAUAAUUUUCUGCAAAAGGAGAGUUUCUGGAGAGGAUUGGAAGGAGUUGCACUACAAUCAGGUCUCCUUCUGCACAAUUAGCCAUUUCAUCAAAUAGCAACAAUGGGGCAGAGUAGCAAACAGAAGGAAAGUGGACAACUUUGCCCAUUCUCAUGCAGAGUGGCCACAGUCAGUAUUUCAGAUAAGUACAUUUCUAAUUCCAGCAAGGUGACAUGUAUUAUUGGUUGCACCCAAAAUGCGUGUUCAUUCAAAGUUGCAUUGUUCUGGGUCUACACUAAUUUUGAAACAAUAUCUACGUACAACACAUGGACGCUGAAAGAGAAGAGACAUUUCUGUGGCAGCAGGAACACAAGUGGCUCCUUUGCUGAACAGCUGCUCUAUGUUGGAUAUGCAAAGGUACAGCUGUGAUACUGUUCCUCCCUCUGUGGAAUAUGCUUCCUGUUUGUUUUGAACUCAAAAUGGAUUGACAUACGAGUCCACAAGAUUAAAGAGUCUUUUACAGAAAGACCGAAAGACAAUGUUCAGAAUGUAAAUAAGAAGCUCCCUCUCUUUUCAAAGAUGUUGCUUUAUCUUCUGUCCUUCAGGCUGUGGACUUUGUUUACUUUAAUGCUAUUAUUAUAGUGGUGAUGGGCCAGAAUUAGAAAGGUAACUGAUUUCCAGAUAAUCUAUUUAUUUAUUGUAUCGUUAGGCCCCAGGCCUGGAAUCCUUUACCUACAAGAGAGUAGGGUUUGCAAAAUUAUUCCCUAACUUGGUGACUCUACUC